ensembl:snoRNA SNORA62 Small nucleolar RNA SNORA62/SNORA6 family
UCUGCACAUUGUUAGAGCUUGGAGUUGCGGCCCCUGGUGGCCCAUUGACUCGCAAGUGUAGGUAGUGUGCUACAUGAGAGGCAAGACUUGGCAAACACCACAAGGGUCUCUGGCCCAAUGAGUGGAGUUUGAUAGUAAUUCUUGCUACAAAU